UUUUUGUUAAUGUUCAGUUGACAUGCCGUAGAAUUGUAGCAGUUUGAGGUAGACAAAAGAUGAGAAAUAGGAGUGUUAGAUUGGCGUACAUAGACAUUCCCAACACGCUCUUACCACGUAGAUGGACCAAACGUUUGUUGCCGCUGCCACUGGGUCUAUCUUACAUCCCGCCCACGCUCUCUCUCCAUCCGUAGAGCAAGUUUCUGUGAAGUGACGGUGAUAGUGGCUGUGUUCAGAUUGUGUCUUGCUUAUAAUACUGAUCCUGCUAAUAAUAGUGACCCAAUUGCCUUGAGUGGUGUAUUUUCAUAAGGUUGAUGUUCUGAGGAAAGAGAGAGAGAGAAAAAAAAAUAAAAAGAAUUAGUCAUGUCCUAACAAGUUUGGUUAAUAUAGCAGUAUUUGAAGAAUGAUCGUGUAUCACCAGUGUGGAGAAAGGCCGGGAGAAUAUCACUGAUCAUCUGUGUUCCUGAGGUCUGUGGAGAUAAGAGUCGGAAGUUAGUUGCCGAAACACUUCAAGCAAUAAAAGGAUGUUACGAAUUUGUUGGUUCGCUGCCCUUUCGGUUCCCUUAACAUUCCGGCUUCAACCAUGAUGGGUUUGCAAGAUGAGAUCGACUUAGUGAAAAGGAAGAGAAACUAAUACAUCAUCAGCUUUAUCAAGGGAAGAGAUGAAGUGGCGUCUGUGAAUCCUACAGAACAAAUUUGUACAUAUCUCGCUGUGCUACAAACGUUAUCUUUAUAAAGCUUAACAGAAUCCAACCAAACGAUGAAGUGUGUUUUGCAAGUUUAUGAAAACAAAUCUUUACAUCCGUCACUGUGUCACCUCUCCUAUUCGUGCUUUUUAUUGGUGUCUGUAAUUCCUGAGCCUUUUGUCACCUUGUCUCUUAUUCCAACAAAGUGUAGCUGAAAUCCACUGAGGGUUUUAGAGAUGCUUUCGUGAUUCUAGUGAGAGUUUGAUAAUGUUUCUGCACAUUAAGAGGAAAAAUAC